UGCCAUAGCUCAGCUGGUAAAACAUCUGCCCGGUAAGCGGAGUGCCGCCGAUUCGACUCCGGCUCGGCUA
rnacentral:tRNA from 1 species